rnacentral:rRNA from 1 species
GUUGUUGGGUAGGGGAGCGUUCUGUAAGCCUGUGAAGGUGUGCUGUGAGGCAUGCUGGAGGUAUCAGAAGUGCGAAUGCUGACAUAAGUAACGAUAAAGCGGGUGAAAAGCCCGCUCGCCGGAAGACCAAGGGUUCCUGUCCAACGUUAAUCGGGGCAGGGUGAGUCGACCCCUAAGGCGAGGCCGAAAGGCGUAGUCGAUGGGAAACAGGUUAAUAUUCCUGUACUUGGUGUUACUGCGAAGGGGGGACGGAGAAGGCUAUGUUGGCCGGGCGACGGUUGUCCCGGUUUAAGCGUGUAGGCUGGUUUUCCAGGCAAAUCCGGAAAAUCAAGGCUGAGGCGUGAUGACGAGGCACUACGGUGCUGAAGCAACAAAUGCCCUGCUUCCAGGAAAAGCCUCUAAGCAUCAGGUAACAUCAAAUCGUACCCCAAACCGACACAGGUGGUCAGGUAGAGAAUACCAAGGCGCUUGAGAGAACUCGGGUGAAGGAACUAGGCAAAAUGGUGCCGUAACUUCGGGAGAAGGCACGCUGAUAUGUAGGUGAAGUCCCUCGCGGAUGGAGCUGAAAUCAGUCGAAGAUACCAGCUGGCUGCAACUGUUUAUUAAAAACACAGCACUGUGCAAACACGAAAGUGGACGUAUACGGUGUGACGCCUGCCCGGUGCCGGAAGGUUAAUUGAUGGGGUUAGCGCAAGCGAAGCUCUUGAUCGAAGCCCCGGUAAACGGCGGCCGUAACUAUAACGGUCCUAAGGUAGCGAAAUUCCUUGUCGGGUAAGUUCCGACCUGCACGAAUGGCGUAAUGAUGGCCAGGCUGUCUCCACCCGAGACUCAGUGAAAUUGAACUCGCUGUGAAGAUGCAGUGUACCCGCGGCAAGACGGAAAGACCCCGUGAACCUUUACUAUAGCUUGACACUGAACAUUGAGCCUUGAUGUGUAGGAUAGGUGGGAGGCUUUGAAGUGUGGACGCCAGUCUGCAUGGAGCCGACCUUGAAAUACCACCCUUUAAUGUUUGAUGUUCUAACGUUGACCCGUAAUCCGGGUUGCGGACAGUGUCUGGUGGGUAGUUUGACUGGGGCGGUCUCCUCCUAAAGAGUAACGGAGGAGCACGAAGGUUGGCUAAUCCUGGUCGGACAUCAGGAGGUUAGUGCAAUGGCAUAAGCCAGCUUGACUGCGAGCGUGACGGCGCGAGCAGGUGCGAAAGCAGGUCAUAGUGAUC